rnacentral:rRNA from 1 species
AUUGAACGCUGGCGGCAGGCCUAACACAUGCAAGUCGAACGGUAACAGGAAACAGCUUGCUGUUUCGCUGACGAGUGGCGGACGGGUGAGUUAUGUCUGGGAAACUGCCUGAUGGAGGGGGAUAACUACUGGAAACGGUAGCUAAUACCGCAUAACGUCGCAAGACCAAAGAGGGGGACCUUCGGGCCUCUUGCCAUCGGAUGUGCCCAGAUGGGAUUAGCUAGUAGGUGGGGUAACGGCUCACCUAGGCGACGAUCCCUAGCUGGUCUGAGAGGAUGACCAGCCACACUGGAACUGAGACACGGUCCAGACUCCUACGGGAGGCAGCAGUGGGGAAUAUUGCACAAUGGGCGCAAGCCUGAUGCAGCCAUGCCGCGUGUAUGAAGAAGGCCUUCGGGUUGUAAAGUACUUUCAGCGGGGAGGAAGGGAGUAAAGUUAAUACCUUUGCUCAUUGACGUUACCCGCAGAAGAAGCACCGGCUAACUCCGUG